GACGAACGCUGGCGGCGUGCUUAACACAUGCAAGUUGAACGGGAAUAACGUUUUCGGAUGUUAUUCUAGUAGCGGACGGGUGAGUAACGCGUGAGCAACCAACCUUUGUGAGGGGGACAACAGCUGGAAACGGCUGCUAAUACCGGCAUGAGACCACGGUUUCGCAUGGAACUGAGGUAAAAGAUUUAUCGCACAAAGACGGGCUCGCGUCCCAUUAGCUAGUUGGUGAGGUAACGGCUCACCAAGGCAUCGAUGGGUAGCCGACCUGAGAGGGUGAUCGGCCACACUGGAACUGAGACACGGUCCAGACUCCUACGGGAGGCUG
rnacentral:rRNA from 1 species